UACGUAGGGUGCAAGCGUUGUCCGGAAUUAUUGGGCGUAAAGAGCGUGUAGGCGGUUUGGUAGGUCCGCUGUGAAAACUCGAGGCUCAACCUCGAGACGCCGGUGGAAACCAUCAGACUAGAGUCCGGAAGAGGAGAGUGGAAUUCCUGGUGUAGCGGUGAAAUGCGCAGAUAUCAGGACGAACACCCGUGGCUAAGGCGGCUCUCUAGUACGGUACUGACGCUGAGACGCGAAAGCGUGGGGAGCGAACAGG
rnacentral:rRNA from 1 species